rnacentral:hammerhead_ribozyme from 1 species
AUCCAGUUGACGAGUCCCAAAUAAGACGAAGCGCAUGUUAAACUGGAU